AUUGAACGCUGGCGGCAUGCUUUACACAUGCAAGUCGAACGGCAGCACGGACUUCGGUCUGGUGGCGAGUGGCGAACGGGUGAGUAAUACAUCGGAACGUACCCAGUAAUGGGGGAUAACUAUCCGAAAGGAUAGCUAAUACCGCAUACGCCCUACGGGGGAAAGAGGGGGAUCGCAAGACCUCUUGUUAUUGGAGCGGCCGAUGGCUGAUUAGCUAGUUGGUGAGGUAAAGGCUCACCAAGGCGACGAUCAGUAGCGGGUCUUAGAGGACGAUCCGCCACACGGGAACUGAGACACGGUCCAGACUCCUACGGGAGGCAGCAGUGGGGAAUCUUGGACAAUGGGCGCAAGCCUGAUCCAGCAAUGCCGCGUGCGUGAAGAAGGCCUUCGGGUUGUAAAGCGCUUUUGUCAGGGAGCAAAUCCUUGUGGCUAAUACCCACCGGGGAUGAGAGUACCUGAAGAAUAAGGACCGGCUAACUACGUGCCAGCCGCCGCAGUAA
rnacentral:rRNA from 1 species